GGUGGAGAUCUCCCCUUGGGUAGGAUGCCUCUCAAGGUUACUGGUGGAAGUCGAGAGAUCCCUUACCUGGCACCUGUUACCUACAGCAAGGUGUAAAUAAAGCCUGAUUCAAAUGACAAUGGACAACCUUCUCUUGCCAGAAACUUGAGAGUCCUAAUUCUGUGAGUAGUUCAUAAUUGUCCUCAUAUCACUUCCCUCGUGCACCAACAGGAAUCACAGAAUGGUUUGGGUUGGAAGGCACCUUUAAAGGUCACCUAGUCCAACCACCCCUGCAGGGAGCAGGGACAUCUUCAACUAGAUUGGGUUGCUCAGAGCCCUGUCCAGCCUGACCCUAAAUGUUUCCAGGGAUGGGGCAUCUACUACCUCUCUGUGCAACAUGUUCCAAUGUUUCACCACCCUCAUGGUAAAAAAUUUCUUCCUUAUAUCCAGUCUAAAUCUACCCUCCUUUAGUUUACAACUAUUACCCCUUGUCCUGUCACAAUAGGCCUUGCUAAAGAGGUUGCCCACGUCUUUCCUGUAGUCCUCUAUUAAGUACUGAACGGCCGCAAUAAAGUCUCCCACAGCCAUCUCUUCUCCAGGCUGAACAACCCCAACUCACAGAAUCACAGAAUCCCAGGUUGGAAGGGACCUCUGGAGAUCAUCUAGUCCAACCUUUCUGGAAAGAGCACAGUCUAGGCAAGAUAGCCCAGCACCCUGUCCAGACAACUCUUGAAGGUGUCCAACGUGGCCGAGUCAACCACUUCCCUGGGGAGAUUAUUCCAAUGGUUAACUGUCCUCAGUGUGAAAAAUUUCCCUCUGGUGUCCAAUCGGAAUCUCCCCAAGAGCAAUUUGUGUCCAUUCCCUCUUGUCCUCUCCAUGUGACUCCAUCUUCUUUAUAGCUACUCCUUAAGUACUGGUACAUGGUGAUGAGAUCCCCUCUGAGCCUCCUUUUCUCAAGGCUGAACAAACCCAGUUCUCUCAGCCUAUCCUCGUAUGGCAGCUUUCCAGUCCUCUGAUCAUCUUGGUGGCCCUUCUCUGGACCCCUUCCAGUCUGUCCGUGUUUUUCCCGUGCUGAGGGCUCCAGAGCUAGAUGCAGCACUGCAGGGGCAGGGUCUCACCAGAGCAGAGUAGAGAGGCAGAAUCACAGAACCACAGAAUCACAGAAUGGUAGGGGUUGUAAGGAUCUCUGGAGAUCAUCUUGUCCAACCCCCCUGCUUGAGCAGGCACACCCACAGCAGGGGGCACAGGAAUGCAUCCAGGUGGGGUUUGAAUGUCUCCAGGGAAGGAGUAGAGUGUCCACAGCCUCUCUGGGCAGCCUGUUCCGCUGCUCCGUCACCCUCACAGUAAAGAAGUUUUUUCUCAUAUUUAGGUGGAACUUCCUGUGUUGCAACUUGUGCCCAUUGCCCCUUGUGCUGUUGUUGGGCACCACUGAAAGGAGUCUAGCCCCAUCCUCUUGACACCCACCCUUCAGAUAUUUAUAAGCAUCCAGUCCCCUGAUCAUCUUUGUGGCUCUCCGCUGGACUUGCUCAAGCAGUUCCGCCUCCUUCUUAAGCUGGGGGGCCCAACACUGGACACAGCACUCCAAAUGUGGUCUCACUAGGGCAGAGUAGAGGGGGAAGAUAACAUCCCUUGACCUGCUGGCCACACUCCUUUUAAUGCAGCCCGGGAUAUUGUUGGCCUUCUUGGCCACAGGGGCCCAUUGCUGGCUCAGGGUCAGCUUGCUGCCCACCAGCACUCCCAGGUCCUUCUCACCAGAGCCGCUUUCCAGUAGUUCAGCCCCCAACCUGUACUGGUGCAGGGGGUUGCUCCUCCCCAGGGGCAGGACCUUGCACUUGCUCUUGUUGAAUUUCAUGAGGUUCUCCUCGACCCAGCUCUCCAGCCUGUCCAGGUCUCGCUGGAUGGCAGCACAGCCUUCUGGUGUAUCAGGCACUCCUCCCAGCUUGGUAUCAUCAGCGAACUUGCUGAGGGUGACCUCUGUCCCAUCGUCCAGGUCAUUGAUGAAUAUAUUGAACAGGACUGGACCCAGUACAGACCCCUGGGGAACACCACCAGUUACAGGCCUCCAACCAGACUCUGCUCCACUGAUCACAACCCUCUGAGUUCUGCUGUUCAGCCAGUUCUCUGUCCACCUCACUGUCCACUCAUCCAGCCCACACUUCCUUAGCUUGCCUGUGAGGAUGCUGUGGGAAACAGUGUCAAAUGCCUUACUGAAGUCAAGAUAGACAACAUCCACUGCUCUCCCUUCAUUGACCCAGCCUGUCACGGCAUCACAGAAGGCUAUCAGGUUGGUCACGUGUGAUCUUCCCUUGGUGAAUCCAUGCUGACUGUUUCUGAUAACCUUCCUGUCCUCUACAUGCCUGGAGAUGACCUCCAGGAUGAACUGCUCCAUCACCUUUCCAGGGACAGAGGUGAGGCUGACUGGCCUAUAGUUUCCCAGGCCCCCCUUCUUGCCCUUUUUGAAGACUGGAGUGACAUUUGCUUCCCUCCAGUCCUCGGGCACCUCUCCUGUCCUCCACGACCUUUCAAAGAUAAUGGAGAGUGGCUCAGCAAGAACAUCCACCAGCUCCCCCAACAGCACUCCCCACCUCACCUUGCUGGUCUGUCUGUCCUGAAAAGCCUAUAGCCAUCCGUGACAGCAUUCCAGUCAUGCGAGCUAUCCUACUGUGUCUCUGUAAUUGCAAUCAGAUCACAUCCCUGCCACCGCACACAGACCUCUAGUUCCUCACGUUUAUUCCCCACACUGCGUGCGUUGGUGUACAGGCAUUUCAGAAAGGUGCUUGAACACGCAGGUUUGCCUGGGGGGGGCGCACAAGGACCCACUAUAGCCAUGCACGCCCUUGAGGUAGUUCGUCUCCUGGAUGCCAUUGCAUGAGGCUGCUAUGGCACCUUUGCCGCUGCUUUGUCCUGUCGUAUUUCCCCAUUGCAUGUGAUGGCAUUAGCAUUGCCAGUUUGGAUCGCUCCCCCUGAGUCCCUCAGUUUAAAGCCCUCCUCACCAAGUUGGUCAGCCUGCUGCCAAAGAUUCCCUUGCCCCUUCCCGACAGGUGGAUUCCAUCCCUCCCUAGCAGCCUAUGGCUGUUGAAGAACAUCCCGUUUUCAUAACAGCCAAAACGCUUUUAGAAUAGAAUAGAAUAAAGUCAUUACGUUUGGAAAAGACCCUUAAGGUCACCAAGCCCAACAGGUAGCCUAUCACUGCCAAGUCCACCACUAACACUAAACCAUAUCCUCAAGCACCACGUCUACCCUUCUUUUAAACACCUCCAGGGAUGGAGACUCAACCACUUCUCUGGGCAGCCUGUUCCAGUGCUUGACAACCCUUUUGGUGAAGAAGUUUUUUCUAAUGUCCGACCUGAACUUCCCCUGGCGCAGCUUGAGGCCAUUUCCUCUCGUCCUAUCGCUUGUUACUUGGGAGAAGAGUCCAACACCCACCUCACUACAACCUCCUUUCAGGUAGUUGUAGAGAGCAAUAAGGUCUCCCCUCAGCCUCCUCUUCUCCAGGCUAAACAACCACAGAACCCUCAGCUGCUCCUUAUAAAACCUGUAUUCCAGACCCUUCACCAGCUUCAUUGCCCUUCUCUGGACACGCUCCAACAACGCAAUGUCUUUCUUGUAGUGAGGGGCGCAAAACUGAACACAGUACUUGAGGUGCAGCCUCACCAGUGCUGAGUACAGGGGCACCAUCCCUGCCCUGCUCCUGCUGCCCACACUAUUGCUGAUACAAGCCAAGACACUGUUAGCCAUCUUGGCCACCUGGGCACUGCUGGCUCAUGUUCAGCUGGCUGUCAACCAGCACCCCCAGGGCCUUAUCUGCCAGGCAGCUUCCCAGCCACCCUUCCCCAAGCCUGUAGCGUUGCAUGGGGUUGUUGUGACCCAAGUGCAGGACCACACACUUGGCCGUGUUAAACUUCAUACAGUUGACUUCAGCCCAUCGAUCCAGCCUGUCCAGAUCCAUCUGUGGAGCCUUCCUACCCUCAAGCAAAUCAACACUCCUGUCCAAUUUCGUGUCAUCUGCAAACCUACCGAGGGUGCACUUCAUCCCCUCAUCCAGAUCAUUGAUAAAGAUAUUAAACAAGACUGGCCCCAAAACAGAGCCCUGGGGAACACCGCUUGUGACCAGCCGCCAACUGGAUUUAGCUCCGUUCACCACAACUCUCCACAUUUGGCCAUCCAGCCAGUUUUUUACCCAGCAAAGAAAACACCUAUCCAAGCCAUGAGCCGCCAGCUUCUCUAGGAGGAUGCUGUGGGAGACAGUGUCAGAGGCUUUGCUAAAGUCCAGGUAGAUAAAAUCCACAGCCUUUCCCUCAUCCACUACAUAGGUCACCUGGUCAUAUAAGGAGGUCAGGUUGGUCAGGCAGGACCUGCCUUUCAUGAAGCCCAAAGCUCUAAUAAAUUUAGAUUUUCCAAACAUUCUGCUGACCGUAUAAUGCUUUUGCCUUCGAUUAAUGGGGAAACCUUAGUCAGCCUUGCUGUUAGGGCCUUUGAAAACAACCUUAAAAUGGUUGAACGAUGGUAAUUCGCCACGAAUUAUUGAUGUCCUGCCUGUCUGGCAAGGUGGAUUUUGCUAUUAACACAGUCUGACCUUCUCUAACCAUGUCUGGAAUGUUUCCCAAAACCAGUCACAGAUUGAAAAGUUCCAUUAAUUUGGUAUAUUGUGGAUCAGUCUUAUUGAGAUGUUUUAAACUAAGCCCAUCUGGUCCCUGUGCUGUGUUCUCACUCAUCUAUUUGAUGCGUUUAGAGACUUCUUCCACUGUAAUCAUGGCUAACUAAAAGGGGUAACCUGUCCGGAGUGACCCCGCCGAGACUUCUGUUAUUUUUUCUUUGCAGGAACGGUACCAGGAAUGAUACCGGAAUGCCUCCCUUGGAGAUCGGGUUGGUCAUCAGAGGAAUAUAUUCAUACAAUCAUAGUGUCAUAGAAUCAUUAAGGUUGGAAAAGUCCUCUAAGAUCAUCAAGUCCAACUGUCAACCCAACACCUCCAUGCCUCCUAAAACAUGUCCUGAAGUGCCACAUCUACACUUUUUUUGAACACCUCCAGAAUUGGUGACUCCACCACCCCUCUGGGCAGCCUGUUCCAAUGCCUGGCCACUCUUUCAGUAAAGAAUUUUUUCUUAAUACCCAAUCUAAACCUCCCCUGGAGCAACUGGAAGCCACUUCCUCUUGUCCUAUCGCUUGUUACUAGGGAGAAGAGACCAACACCCACCUCACUACAACCUCCUUUCAGGUAGCUGUAGAGAGCGAUAAGGUCUCCCCUCAGCCUCCUCUUCUCCAGGCUAAACAACCACAGAACCCUCAGCUGCUCCUUAUAAAACCUGUAUUCCAGACCCUUCACCAGCUUCAUUGCCCUUCUCUGGACACGCUCCAGCACCUCGAUGUCCUUCUUGUAGUGAGGGGCGCAAAACUGAACACAGUACUCGAGGUGCGGCCUCACCAGUGCCGAGUACAGGGGCACCAUCCCUGCCCUGUUGCUGUUGGCCACACUAUUCCUGAUACAAGCCAGGAUGCUGUUGGCCUCCCUGGCCGCCUGAGCACACUGUUGGCUCAUGUUCAGCCGGCUGUCAGCCAACACCCCCAGGGCCUUAUCUGCCAGGCAGCUUCCCAGCCACCCUUCCCCAAGCCUGUAGCGUUUCAUGGGGUUGUUGUGACCCAAGUGCAGGACCCGGCACUGUGCCUUGUUAAACCUCAUAUAGUUGACCUCAGCUGAUCGAUCCAGCCUGUCAUUGUUCUCGCAGGAUUAAUCAUUGCCAGCAUGGAGCAGAUCCAGUUUACACCUCAAGAAACCCAGCGCACGGGUUCGAGGCCCUCACUUCUUUUAUUUGUGCUAAUUAAUACAGUAACUGUAGUACAUUCUGCAUCAUACAUGUUUAAAAUUGAUAGAAGUACAGGAAUAUUGGGAGAAUGAGCAAAAAAACUAGCAAUGACAAUCACUGGUAAUCACACAAUUCUAAAAGCAAGUAAAGGUCACCUUAUUUCUGCUGUACCAGGUGACAGAAUCUCUAUUAAAUGUCAUGUGACAAAUUAUUCAAAGGGAGACACCUACAUGAUAAUCAGGAAGAUAAAUGAAACUCAAUCAAAAUGAAGAGUAGGCUGUCCCUCACACCCCGACUGUAUAAUAGUUUCCACUUUAAUGACGCAGCUAUAGAAGCAGUGUGCCUGUAGACAGAUAAAGGGAGAGAGAGCGAAAAUGGACUAUCCUUAAAGGUCACGCCAACAUCUAGUCCUAGACCUCACACUAUACCAACAACUAUCUCUACUACCUAUCAACCUAUUCCCUAUUCUAUUACUCUCACACUGACCAAGUUACAUAUCGACAAAUUUCUGCAAUUGGACCCUAUGCUAUUAAAUGCACGGAACAGCAACAAGUCAUAUUUAACCUGUCACAGUCCCUCAAAAGAGUACAACUGUCUAUGUGUACCCAUCUGCGUAAGAACACUUUGUGAAGACUUAAUUGGUGAUAAAAAUUUUAUCUCUGAUGUGUCCAAUUAAGCAAAUGUAUGUGUUUGUAACUUUGUAAACAUUACUGGAUGUGACUUUAAUUACAGAGCCCCAGUGACCUCAUAUGCACUGUUAAAGGAAAACUACAUACUAUAUCAAGACCUUUUACCUUCCCCCACUGGAAUGAACUUGAUGCUCUUUCACAAGCUACUGAAACACAAAGACAUACAGGCCUUAUUACAAAAAGUACAACAAAGCAAAAACACAUUCAUAACUGUAUAUCAUGAUGGAGAAGAAAUACACCGUAUACUAGGAAGAGUGAAUAAGGAUGGGGAACACCACUGGUGGGAAACUCUGUUCGGAUGGUCUCCACCAGCAACAGGUGUAUUGAGCACCAUGUUACAUCCUGUAGUAAUAAUGUUUGCCGUCUGGUAGUUUGUAUUGCUAUUAAUGUCUUUCUAUAUAUUCAAGUCUGGUUUUUCGGCCAAUCAGUACAUCUCGUUGUAAAACAUACAAAAUAUUGUGCUACUGAAUGUGUGGAACUAUCUUAUAAUGAACCUUAAUUAAUUUUGUAUUUAUCGCUUAAUCCUCCAGUAGACAACAUGAUGCUAUUGCCGCCUCAUAUUUAUAGCACAGAGGCAAGAGGUGACCGUACCACCACUCUGUGAAGUAAAGUGAAUUGGCUGUAGUCACGGGGUGGAGUGUGACGGAUGCGCCCACCCCGGCUGAGUGAACAGCCCUUUGGUUCAGGCCUGACUGGAGUCAGCCCUGCUGUGCAGACCUUGUGAAACUGUGCUAGGCCACAGCUUUUCAGGAACAAAGGAAUCUAGGCUUUAGUCUUAUCAGGAGCUAACGGUGCCAGCCUGAGCUGGAACUAGACGAAACUAAUACUGUGGCUGCACAUGCACACAUACACCGAAGGGGAAUUUGACUACGAGUAAAUCACUUUACGCUAUAAAUAUCUGCAGCCCCCUGAGCCCAUUGAGCUCUCCUGUACAGCAGCAGGCUGCACGGCAGUGAUCUCCCCUCGGGCAGGACACCUCUUGAGGUUACUGCUCAAGGUCGAGAGUUCCCUUACCUGGCACCUGUUUUCUACAGUGAGGUAAGCGACAUUUUAUAUUAGAUCUAAAGCAUACUGUAUACCAGCGAUCUUAAUUAUUAGAAGUGCAGUAAGUAGUAGAGUGUUUGACUGCUGCUGAAUUACCGUUGAAUUACAGCUAAUUACCACUUAAUAAUCAUAAUUUAAUAAUUAACAUUUAAUCAUCAUUGUUUAAUCAGUGUUUAAUAAAACCUUUUGAUUAACCCCACAA